AGUUUGAUCCUGGCUCAGGAUGAACGCUGGCGGCGUGCCUAAUACAUGCAAGUCGAACGAAUCUCUUUUAGAGAUGAGUGGCGAACGGGUGAGUAAUACAUAGGUAACCUGCCCCUGUGCGGGGGAUAACAGGAGGAAACUCCUGCUAAUACCGCAUAGCCAUGAGCACCGCAUGGAGCUCAUGCCAAAUAUCCUUUAUGGGAUAGCGCAGGGAUGGACCUAUGGCGCAUUAGCUGGUUGGCGGGGCAACGGCCCACCAAGGCAACGAUGCGUAGCCGGCCUGAGAGGGCGGACGGCCACAUUGGGACUGAGACACGGCCCAGACUCCUACGGGAGGCAGCAGUAGGGAAUUUUCGGCAAUGGGGGAAACCCUGACCGAGCAACGCCGCGUGAGCGAAGAAGGCCUUCGGGUCGUAAAGCUCUGUUGUAAAGGAAGAACGGCGCAUACAGGAAAUGGUAUGCGAGUGACGGUACUUUACCAGAAAGCCACGGCUAACUACGUGCCAGCAGCCGCGGUAAUACGUAGGCGGCGAGCGUUAUCCGGAAUCAUUGGGCGUAAAGAGGGAGCAGGCGGCCGCAAGGGUCUGUGGUGAAAGACCGAAGCUAAACUUCGGUAAGCCAUGGAAACCGGGCGGCUAGAGUGCGGAAGAGGAUCGUGGAAUUCCAUGUGUAGCGGUGAAAUGCGUAGAUAUAUGGAGGAACACCAGUGGCGAAGGCGACGGUCUGGGCCGCAACUGACGCUCAUUCCCGAAAGCGUGGGGAGCAAAUAGGAUUAGAUACCCUAGUAGUUCACGCCGUAAACGAUGGUCACUAAGUGUCGGGGGUCAAACCCCGGUGCUGCAGUCAACGCAAUAAGUGACCCGCCUGAGUAGUACGUUCGCAAGAAUGAAACUCAAAGGAAUUGAC
rnacentral:rRNA from 1 species